rnacentral:misc_RNA from 2 species
AACAAAUUCAAGCUUCUGUAAUUUUUGCUUGGUCUUGAGGGAUGAGCGAGAUGGAAUUGAACUUUUUUAAAUUCAUGUUCUAUCUUGCUCACCCAUCGAAUUUCAGUGGCGGAUUUAAGCAUAGUUGGCCUGGUGUGAUACGUUUUUCAUGUCACUGGGUCCAACUUGUGGCAAUUUCCUGUCGAUAGAAACUCCCCUCGACUAUUAUUAUA